UACGUAGGUGGCAAGCGUUGUCCGGAUUUAUUGGGUUUAAAGGGUGCGUAGGCGGCUUUGUAAGUCAGUGGUGAAAUAUGGCAGCUCAACUGUCAGGGUGCCAUUGAUACUGCGGAGCUUGAGUACAGAUGAGGUAGGCGGAAUUGACGGUGUAGCGGUGAAAUGCUUAGAUAUCGUCAAGAACACCGAUAGCGAAAGGCAGCUUACUAGGCUGUAACUGACGCUGAGGCACGAAAAGUGUGGGGGAUCAAACAGG
rnacentral:rRNA from 1 species